rnacentral:lncRNA from 1 species
GACUUUGUUUUGCUGGUGACUGUAUGCCCAGUUCCUAAAACAGGAGUUGGCAUGGAGUGAACUCUCAAUAAAUAUUUAAUUGAAUGGAAUAAAUGAAUAAAUAAAUAUAACACAUAGUGAGUGUUCACUAUAUGAGAAGCAUUCAAGUUCUAAGCACUUGCAGUAAGUAAUAUUCACAACAACUCCAUAGGGAGACCCUAUUAUUAUCCCCAUUUUACAGAUGAAGAAACUGAGGCACAGAAAGUUUAACUGUCUUGCCAAGGCCAUGCAGCUUAGAUGUCUUAUAUUCAAGAUCAGAAGAGGCAACAGGAUUCAUAUUCCAAGGCGCUCUCCCUUCCUCCCUCUUCAGCAGGCCCUCAGUCAGAGCCAGCUAUUCCUUCCCUUCCUUCCUUCCUCUCUUUGCUGUCUCCUGGAAUGCUUGUAUGGGAAUCACAGAGUCGCACGCUUCAGAUAUCUGGGGUGAAUCUUUGGUGUUUUAUGCAUUCAAAGGGUGAGAGCUUGGCUGAGCUCAAACUGCUGCCCUCUCUUCCCAUUUUCUCCAUACUGGUGCCUUAGAACCUGGUCAAGUCACACAACUUGGUAUUUUUUUCUUUAUUACUAUUUUUUUUAACAGCUGUUGACAAAUGCAGAGGCUAUUAUGGUUUAUGGUGUUCCUUUGCAUGCACCAUCUCAUUUGAUCAGCUCAACAGCCCAGGGAUAUGGGCAGUGCAAGGAUGGCCACUGCAGUUUAUCGAUGAGGAACCAGAGGCUCAGAGAGGUUGCGUGAAGCUAUUUGGAAGAAGAGUUUCGUUUCUAGUUAUAAGCUGAAGAAGCAACAGGCACUUGUACCCCACUUCUCGUGGUGAAUGCAGGAGUGGCAGAGUGAGAUUGGAAACACAGAAAGCUCAAAACUGACCUCCUGUCACUUUCACCUACAGCCCAUUGGCCAAACCUGAGAAAUAAUUUCUAGAGCCAGGGAAAGCAGCACUGCGGAAUUGAGGAAGAAUGGAAUUCUCGCUUUCAAUCCUCCUCUAAAUUGAUGAUCAACGUCAUCCUCCUGGCUCCGUAUGAAGUGGUUGUGGACAUGGAACACUUGGUUGGCUACACAGGCAUCUGUCCUUCGUAGGGCUCACACCAAUGCUGAGAAUGAUGCCCACCGAGUUUCACAGGAAAUAUUUCAGACACAUGGCUGAUGGCAGACUUCAAGUAACAUGUAACUUAACAGAUCCUUAUGCUUUGGGAGUUGCAGUCGAGGUCUGAGAAGCCAUAGACCUAAGAUGCAAUUUUUUUGAGUUUAUCUGUAUCUAUAUAAAUACAUUUUCUUUUUUUCUCAAAGAAUAUUUCGAUUUUUUCUUGAAGAAAUUUCAAAAAAGAGGAAGAAAAAAUGGGGAAAAAAGACUUUUUUUCUAUUUUAAAAUUCAUUUUUGUUUUAUUUUUGUUACCAGACUGUUCCAGCAAUUUUCUUUCCUGCUUAAUGUUAUCUUUUAAGCCUGUCUCCAAGUUUUUGCAAAAUGACCAUUUUCAAAGUGAUACCUAAAUUCAAUUUCAAUUCAUUCCCAAAUGUAAAGUCAUUAAAAUGCCCCCAAAUUAGAAACAGAAAUACAAUAGUCUAGCCAUUCGGAAAGUACAUACUAAUGUGCUCACUUAAAGCUAAAGACUGAGCUCACAAUUACUUUAACAUUAGAGCUCUAAAAAAAUCAGUAAUUAUGAGUUUACUAAUCCACAAUUUGUAAUGAUUUGCAUAUGACUGGAGUGAAAGCAUAAUUUCA